rfam:Gossypium raimondii Chr02_contig_1044, whole genome shotgun sequence.
AUUCCGUGAUGAGGGCAGUUCGGUAAUAAUUCUUUGUACCUUUGCCAUGCCUCAUACAAUGACUCAUCAUUCAUUUUUUGGAAAGCAGUGAUCUUGUUCCUCAACUU